GAUGAAGAACGUAGCGAAAUGCGAUAAGUAAUGUGAAUUGCAGAAUUCAGUGAAUCAUCGAAUCUUUGAACGCAUCUUGCGCUCCUUGGUAUUCUGAGGAGCAUGCCUGUUUGAGUGUCAUUAAAUUCUCAACCGCACUGACUUUGAAUUGGUGUGGCUUGGAUUUGGGGGGAAAAUUGUUGUGGGCUUUUUUGUAUAGUCUGCUCCCCUGAAAUUGAUUAGCGGUACCUUUGUGGAACUGUCUACAGGUGUGAUAAUUAUCUACAUCCUAGACAUCUGCUGGAAUGCUGCUUUCUAAACCUUACUUGUAUUGACAAUCUUGACCUCAAAUCAGGUAGGACUACCCGCUGAACUUAAGCAUAUCAAUAAGCGGAGG
rnacentral:misc_RNA from 1 species